CAUGCAAGUCGAACGAGCGAGAGAGAGCUUGCUUUCUCAAGCGAGUGGCGAACGGGUGAGUAACGCGUGAGGAACCUGCCUCAAAGAGGGGGACAACAGUUGGAAACGACUGCUAAUACCGCAUAAGCCCACGACCCGGCAUCGGGUUGAGGGAAAAGGAGUAAUCCGCUUUGAGAUGGCCUCGCGUCCGAUUAGCUAGUUGGUGAGGUAACGGCCCACCAAGGCGACGAUCGGUAGCCGGACUGAGAGGUUGAACGGCCACAUUGGGACUGAGACACGGCCCAGACUCCUACGGGAGGCAGCAGUGGGGAAUAUUGCACAAUGGGGGAAACCCUGAUGCAGCGACGCCGCGUGGAGGAAGAAGGUCUUCGGAUUGUAAACUCCUGUUGUUGGGGAAGAUAAUGACGGUACCCAACAAGGAAGUGACGGCUAACUACGUGCCAGCAGCCGCGGUAAAACGUAGGUCACAAGCGUUGUCCGGAAUUACUGGGUGUAAAGGGAGCGCAGGCGGGAAGACAAGUUGGAAGUGAAAUCCAUGGGCUCAACCCAUGAACUGCUUUCAAAACUGUUUUUCUUGAGUAGUGCAGAGGUAGGCGGAAUUCCCGGUGUAGCGGUGGAAUGCGUAGAUAUCGGGAGGAACACCAGUGGCGAAGGCGGCCUACUGGGCACCAACUGACGCUGAGGCUCGAAAGUGUGGGUAGCAAACAGGAUUAGAUACCCUGGUAGUCCACACCGUAAACGAUGAUUACUAGGUGUUGGAGGAUUGACCCCUUCAGUGCCGCAGUUAACACAAUAAGUAAUCCACCUGGGGAGUACGACCGCAAGGUUGAAACUCAAAGGAAUUGACGGGGGCCCGCACAAGCAGUGGAGUAUGUGGUUUAAUUCGACGCAACGCGAA
rnacentral:rRNA from 1 species